rnacentral:rRNA from 1 species
UACGUAGGGGGCAAGCGUUGUCCGGAUUCAUUGGGCGUAAAGAGCGUGUAGGCGGCCAGGUAGGUCGGUUGUGAAAACUGGAGGCUCAACCUUCAGAGGUCGACCGAAACCAUCUGGCUAGAGUCCGGGAGAGGAGAGUGGAAUUCCUGGUGUAGCGGUGAAAUGCGCAGAUAUCAGGAAGAACACCCGUGGCGAAAGCGGCUCUCUGGAACGGUACUGACGCUGAGACGCGAAAGCGUGGGGAGCGACCAGG